AGAGUUUGAUCAUGGCUCAGGAUGAACGUUGGCGGUGCGCCUAAUACAUGCAAGUCGAACGGAGACUGUAGCAAUACUGUCUUAGUGGCGAACGGGUGAGUAACGCGUUGGUGAUCUGCCUCGAAGUGUGGAAUAACGUUCCGAAAGGAGCACUAAUACCGCAUGGUCUUCUGGUUUUUAGAACGCCAGAUGUAAAGGAUUUAUUCGCUUCGAGAGGAGCCUGCGUCCCAUCAGCUAGUUGGUAAGGUAAUGGCUUACCAAGGCGAUGACGGGUAGGGGACCUGAGAGGGUGGCCCCCCACAAUGGAACUGAAACACGGUCCAUACACCUACGGGUGGCAGCAGUAGGGAAUAUUAGUAAUGGGCGAAAGCCCGAACUAGCGACACCGCGUGUGCGAAGAAGGCCUUCGGGUUGUAAAGCACUUUUAGAGAGGAUGAGGAAGGACGGUACUCUCUGAAUAAGUCUCGGCUAACUACGUGCCAGCAGCCGCGGUAACACGUAGGAGGCAAACGUUAUCCGGAUUUACUGGGCGUAACGCGCGUGUAGGUGGUUCUGUAAGUAGGGCGUGAAAGCUCCCGGCUCAACUGGGAGAGGCCGUUCUAAACUGCAGAGCUAGAGGAUGGUAGAGGGAGGUGGAAUUCCGGGUGUAGCGGUGGAAUGCGCAGAUAUCCGGAGGAAACACCAGUGGCGAAGGCGACCUCCUGGGCCACUCCUGACACUCAGACGCGAAAGCUAGGGUAGCAAACGGGAUUAGAGACCCCGGU
rnacentral:rRNA from 1 species